rnacentral:rRNA from 1 species
CCUACGGGGGGCCGCAGUGGGGAAUAUUGGACAAUGGGGGGAACCCUGAUCCAGCCAUGCCGCGUGUGUGAAGAAGGCCCUCGGGUUGUAAAGCACUUUCAGUGAGGAAGAACGCCUGGUGGUUAAUACCCAUCAGGAAAGACAUCACUCACAGAAGAAGCACCGGCUAACUCCGUGCCAGCAGCCGCGGUAAUACGGAGGGUGCGAGCGUUAAUCGGAAUUACUGGGCGUAAAGCGCGCGUAGGUGGCUUGAUAAGCCGGUUGUGAAAGCCCCGGGCUCAACCUGGGAACGGCAUCCGGAACUGUCAAGCUAGAGUGCAGGAGAGGAAGGUAGAAUUCCCGGUGUAGCGGUGAAAUGCGUAGAGAUCGGGAGGAAUACCAGUGGCGAAGGCGGCCUUCUGGACUGACACUGACACUGAGGUGCGAAAGCGUGGGUAGCAAACAGGAUUAGAUACCCUUGUAGUC